rnacentral:rRNA from 1 species
AGCAGCCGCGGUAAUUCCAGCUCCAAUAGCGUAUAUUAAAGUUGUUGCAGUUAAAAGGCUCGUAGUUGAAUUUCGGGGUCAGUAGGUUGGUCGUGCCACUGGUAUGCACUGGUCUCACUGAUUCCUCCUUCCUGAUGAGCCGUAAUGCCAUUAAUUUGGUGUUGCGGGGAAUCUGGACUGUUACUUUGAAAAAUUAGAGUGUUUAAAGCAGGCUAACGCUUGAAUACAUUAGCAUGGAAUAAUGAAAUAGGACGAUCGAUCUUAUUUUGUUGGUUUCUAGGAUUGACGUAAUGAUUAAUAGGGAUAGUUGGGGGCAUUAGUAUUCAAUUGUCAGAGGUGAAAUUCUUGGAUUUAUUGAAGACUAACUACUGCGAAAGCAUUUGCCAAGGAUGUUUUCAUUAAUCAAGAACGAAAGUUAGGGGAUCGAAG